ACGAACGCUGGCGGCGUGCCUAAUACCUGCAAGUAGCACGCUGAAGGAGGAGCUUGCUUCUCCGGAUGAGUUGCGAACGGGUGAGUAACGCGUAGGUAACCUGCCUGGUAGCGGGGGAUAACUAUUGGAAACGAUAGCUAAUACCGCAUAAGAGUAGAUGUCGCAUGACAUUUGCUUAAAAGGUGCAACUGCACCACUACCAGAUGGACCUGCGUUGUAUUAGCUAGUUGGUGAGGUAACGGCUCACCAAGGCAACGAUACAUAGCCGACCUGAGAGGGUGAUCGGCCACACUGGGACUGAGACACGGCCCAGACUCCUACGGGAGGCAGCAGUAGGGAAUCUUCGGCAAUGGACGGAAGUCUGACCGAGCAACGCCGCGUGAGUGAAGAAGGUUUUCGGAUCGUAAAGCUCUGUUGUAAGAGAAGAACGAGUGUGAGAGUGGAAAGUUCACACUGUGACGGUAUCUUACCAGAAAGGGACGGCUAACUACGUG
rnacentral:rRNA from 1 species